GACGAACGCUGGCGGCGUGCUUAACACAUGCAAGUCGAGCGGUAAGGCCCCUUCGGGGGUACACGAGCGGCGAACGGGUGAGUAACACGUGAGCAAUCUGCCCUUCACACGGGGAUAACCACCGGAAACGGUGGCUAAUACCCGAUACGACCACUUCAGGCAUCUGAUGGUGGUGGAAAGUUCCGGCGGUGAAGGAUGAGCUCGCGGCCUAUCAGCUUGUUGGUGGGGUAAUGGCCUACCAAGGCAACGAUGCGUAGCCGACCUGAGAGGGUGAUCGGCCACACUGGGACUGGGCCACGGCCCAGACUCCGACGGGAGGCAGCAGUAGGGAAUCUUCCGCAAUGGACGAAAGUCUGACGGAGCAACGCCGCGUGAGCGAAGAAGGCCUUCGGGUCGUAAAGCUCUGUUGUCAGGGAAGAACAAGUAUCGGAGUAACUGCCGGUACCUUGACGGUACCUGACCAGAAAGCCACGGCUAACUACGUGCCAGCCGCCGCCGUAAAAC
rnacentral:rRNA from 1 species